rnacentral:rRNA from 1 species
AGCGAACGCUGGCGGCAGGCCUAACACAUGCAAGUCGAACGCCCGUAGCAAUACGGGAGUGGCGGACGGGGGAGUAACGCGUGGGAACGUGCCCUGAGGUACGGAAUAACUGCGGGAAACUGCAGCUAAUACCGUAUGAGCCCCGCAAGGGGGAAAGAUUUAUCGCCUUAGGAGCGGCCCGCGUCGGAUUAGCUAGUUGGUGGGGUAACGGCUUACCAAGGCUUCGAUCCGUAGCUGGUCUGAGAGGACGAUCAGCCACACUGGGACUGAGACACGGCCCAGACUCCUACGGGAGGCAGCAGUGGGGAAUCUUGCGCAAUGGGGGCAACCCUGACGCAGCCAUGCCGCGUGAAUGAUGAAGGCCUUAGGGUUGUAAAGUUCUUUUGCCCGUGACGAUGAUGACGGUAACGGGAGAAUAAGCUCCGGCUAACUUCGUGCCAGCAGCCGCAGUAAAAC